rnacentral:rRNA from 1 species
AGAGUUUGAUCAUGGCUCAGGACGAACGCUGGCGGCGUGCCUAACACAUGCAAGUCGAGCGGAGUUAAUUGAAAGCUUGCUUUUGGUUAACUUAGCGGCGGACGGGUGAGUAACGCGUGGGCAACCUGCCUGACACAGGGGGAUAACACAGGGAAACUUGUGCUAAUACCGCAUAACACAGCGAGGAAACAUUUCCUUGUUGUCAAAGGAGUAAUCCGGUGACAGAUGGGCCCGCGUCCAAUUAGCUAGUUGGUGAUGUAACGGACCACCAAGGCGACGAUUGGUAGCCGAACUGAGAGGUUGAUCGGCCACAUUGGGACUGAGACACGGCCCAGACUCCUACGGGACGCAGCAG